rnacentral:rRNA from 1 species
UACGUAGGGCGCAAGCGUUAUCCGGAAUUAUUGGGCGUAAAGAGCUCGUAGGCGGUUUGUCGCGUCUGCCGUGAAAGCCCGGGGCUCGACUCCGGAUCUGCGGUGGGUACGGGCAGACUAGAGUGAUGUAGGGGAGACUGGAAUUCCUGGUGUAGCGGUGAAAUGCGCAGAUAUCAGGAGGAACACCGAUGGCGAAGGCAGGUCUCUGGGCAUUAACUGACGCUGAGGAGCGAAAGCAUGGGGAGCGAACAGG